AUAGAAAAUAGGUGCCCGUACCGCAAACCGACACAGGUAGUCAAGAUGAGAAUUCUAAGGUGAGCGAGCGAACUCUCGUUAAGGAACUCGGCAAAAUGACCCCGUAACUUCGGGAGAAGGGGUGCUCUUUAGGGUUAACGCCCAGAAGAGCCGCAGUGAAUAGGCCCAAGCGACUGUUUAUCAAAAACACAGGUCUCUGCUAAACCGUAAGGUGAUGUAUAGGGGCUGACGCCUGCCCGGUGCUGGAAGGUUAAGAGGAGUGGUUAGCUUCUGCGAAGCUACGAAUCGAAGCCCCAGUAAACGGCGGCCGUAACUAUAACGGUCCUAAGGUAGCGAAAUUCCUUGUCGGGUAAGUUCCGACCCGCACGAAAGGCGUAACGAUUUGGGCACUGUCUCAACGAGAGACUCGGUGAAAUCAUAGUACCUGUGAAGAUGCAGGUUACCCGCGACAGGACGGAAAGACCCCGUGGAGCUUUACUGUAGCCUGAUAUUGAAAUUCGGCACAGCUUGUACAGGAUAGGUAGGAGCCUUUGAAACGUGAGCGCUAGCUUACGUGGAGGCGCUGGUGGGAUACUACCCUA
rnacentral:rRNA from 1 species